GGACUACUGGGGUUUCUAAUCCUGUUUGCUACCCACGCUUUCGUGUCUCAGCGUCAGUGAUGGUCCAGUAAGCUGUCUACACCACAGGUGUUCCUCCUGAUAUCUACGCAUUUCACCGCUACACCAGGAAUUCCGCUUACCUCUCCCAUACUCAAGCCCACCAGUUUUCAACGCACCCUCCCGGUUAAGCCGGGAGAUUUCACGUCGAACUUAGUGAACCGCCUACACACCCUUUACGCCCAGUAACUCCGAACAACGCUUGCUGCCUACGUAUUACCGCGGCUGCUGGCAC
rnacentral:rRNA from 1 species